rnacentral:rRNA from 1 species
UGGGGAAUAUUGCACAAUGGGCGCAAGCCUGAUGCAGCCAUGCCGAGUGUAUGAAGAAGGCCUUCGGGUUGUAAAGUACUUUCAGCGGGGAGGAAGGUGUUGAGGUUAAUAACCUCAGCAAUUGACGUUACCCGCAGAAGAAGCACCGGCUAACUCCGUGCCAGCAGCCGCGGUAAUACGGAGGGUGCAAGCGUUAAUCGGAAUUACUGGGCGUAAAGCGCACGCAGGCGGUCUGUCAAGUCGGAUGUGAAAUCCCCGGGCUCAACCUGGGAACUGCAUUCGAAACUGGCAGGCUAGAGUCUUGUAGAGGGGGGUAGAAUUCCAGGUGUAGCGGUGAAAUGCGUAGAGAUCUGGAGGAAUACCGGUGGCGAAGGCGGCCCCCUGGACAAAGACUGACGCUCAGGUGCGAAAGCGUGGGGAGCAAACA